AGAGUUUGAUCAUGGCUCAGGAUAAACGCUGGCGGCGUGCUUCAGGCAUGCAAGUCGAACGGGUGUCUACCUUCGGGUAGCCACUAGUGGCGGACGGGUGAGUAACGCGUUAGCAACCUGCCCAAAGGUGGGGAAUAACUAACCGAAAGGUUAGCUAAUACCGCAUGUGAUAGCUGGUUCUUGGACCGGUUAUGAAAGGCUUCGGUCGCCUUUGGAGGGGCUUGCGUCAGAUUAGCUUGUUGGUGGGGUAAUGGCCUACCAAGGCGACGAUCUGUAGCUGGUCUGAGAGGAUGGUCAGCCACACGGGGACUGAGAUACGGCCCCGACUCCUACGGGAGGCAGCAGCUAGGAAUCUUGGGAAUGGGCGAAAGCCUGACCCAGCAACGCCGCGUGGGCGAUGAAGGCCUUCGGGUCGUAAAGCCCUUUUGCAGGGGACGAUGAUGACGGUACCUUGCGAAUAAGCCACGGCUAACUACGUGCCAGCCGCCGCGGUAAUUC
rnacentral:rRNA from 1 species